GUCUCUGCGUGUCUCUACAUGUCACUGCAUGUCUCUACGUGUUGCUGUGUGUGUCUCUACAUAUCUCUACGUGUCUCUACGUGUCACUGCAUGUCUCUACGUGUCCCUGUGUGUCCCUGCGUGUCUCUACGUGUCGCUGCCUGCUGGACUGGGCAUGAAGCUGAAGUGCAGCAUGUGACGUUUGUGCUGAAGUGUUUGUGUGCAGCUGAGGGGGAGAAGCUGGCACUGAGGGAGAAGAAAGCCUUUUGAAAGAGCAGUGAGUCUGCAGAAGCCAGUGCCGUUCAGCACGUACGCCCCAGCGAGGCCAGGGAGGACCAGGACCAGAUCCAGGUCCCUCCUUAGUGAGCCCGGGGAGGACCAGGACCAGAUCCAGGUCCCUCCUUAGUGAGCCCGGGGAGGACCAGGACCAGAUCCAGGUCCCUCCUUAGUGAGCCCGGGGAGGACCAGGACCAGAUCCAGGUCCCUCCUUAGUGAGCCCGGGGAGGACCAGGACCAGAUCCAGGUCCCCCCUUAGUGAGCCCGGGGAGGACCAGGACCAGAUCCAGGUCCCCCC